rnacentral:lncRNA from 1 species
GUUUGCAACAACUCCAGGCAAGACUCAGUUCUUCUUCCAAGUGGACCUGGGUAAAAGAGCCAGAGAUCACAAGCAACUUUCUGAAGGUCAUCCAAGAGCUUCUGACAGAAGGAUGACCUGAUUUGUGCCUUUUUCUUCUCCUUGGGAUAUCUGUCUUCGACUUCGUAUACAAAUGAACGGAUUCCAAAGAUCUAAGAAGCCCAGCAAAAGUGAACCUGUGGACUAUAAACUCAAAAACAGAAUGAGAGGGAGAUAAAGUGCCCUGUGUGUGUGUGUGAUGUGAAAGUACCUAUAGAAGAAAUGAGGAUGUGAACUCCUAUAGCUCAAAAUAAGGAAGCAACACUGAUGCUUUCUCUGGGAGUGGUAAAGUGGUUUUGCAGGGUUCAUGUGUCAGCUUCUGUGUAAGUGAACUUCAUCCCCUUCCUUCCCAGAUUUUACUCUCUCUCUACAUGUUACCAGGGAACAGAAGGGGAAGAAAGAGCAAGAGUCUGGUGUGAAGCCAUUUCAAUCUGGCAGCCAAGUUUCCUUUGCUUCAGUCUUGGGUCAUAUCUCGAGCAAGGUUGUGUGCUGGUAACCAGUAUUUUGAAAAGUUUUCAUUUAAUCUCAGACUUAAAAAAAUCCCUCUGACACCUUGUCAAAAAUGUUGAAAACCCCAGGCAAUUCA